rnacentral:rRNA from 1 species
GCGCACGGGUGAGUAACACGUGACUAACCUACCCUCGAGUGGGGAAUAACUUCGGGAAACCGAGGCUAAUACCGCAUAAUACCCACGGGUCAAAGGAGCAAUCCGCUUGAGGAGGGGGUCGCGGCCGAUUAGUUAGUUGGCAGGGUAACGGCCUACCAAGACGACGAUCGGUAUCCGGCCUGAGAGGGCGCACGGACACACUGGAACUGAAACACGGUCCAGACUCCUACGGGAGGCAGCAGUGGGGAAUUUUGCGCAAUGGGGGAAACCCUGACGCAGCAACGCCGCGUGGAGGAUGAAGUCCUUCGGGACGUAAACUCCUUUCGAUCGGGACGAUAAUGACGGUACCGGAAGAAGAAGCCCCGGCUAACUUCGUGCCGGCAGCCGCGGUAAUACGAGGGGGGCGAGCGUUGUUCGGAAUUAUUGGGCGUAAAGGGUGCGUAGGCGGUUCGGUAAGUCUCGUGUGAAAUCUACAGGCUCAACUUGUAGUCUGCACGAGAAACUGCAGGGCUGGAGUGUGGGAGAGGUGAGUGGAAUUCCUGGUGUAGCGGUGAAAUGCGUAGAUAUCAGGAGGAACACCUGUGGCGAAAGCGGCUCACUGGACCAUAACUGACGCUGAUGCACGAAAGCUAGGGGAGCAAACAGGAUUAGAUACCCUGGUAG